GAUGAACGCUGGCGGCGUGCCUAAUACAUGCAAGUCGAGCGAACAGAUGAGGAGCUUGCUCCUCUGACGUUAGCGGCGGACGGGUGAGUAACACGUGGAUAACCUACCUAUAAGACUGGGAUAACUUCGGGAAACCGGAGCUAAUACCGGAUAAUAUAUUGAACCGCAUGGUUCAAUAGUGAAAGACGGUUUUGCUGUCACUUAUCGAUGGAUCCGCGCCGCAUUAGCUAGUUGGUAAGGUAACGGCUUACCAAGGCAACCAUGCGUAGCCGAGCUGAGAGGGUGAUCGGCCACACUGGAAGUGAGACACGGUCCAGACUCCUACGGGAGGCAGCAAUAGGGAAUCUUCCGCAAUGGGCGAAAGCCUGACGGAGCAACGCCGCGUGAGUGAUGAAGGUCUUCGGAUCGUAAAACUCUGUUAUUAGGGAAGAACAAAUGUGUAAGUAACUAUGCACGUCUUGACGGUACCUAAUCAGAAAGCCACGGCUAACUACGUG
rnacentral:rRNA from 1 species